CGCCAUGGAUCAGCAUAGUAGAGAGGUAGAGGGAAAAUCGUGGCUUGAUCCUUCAGUUCCUGGGUUUCCUGUUCCUACAUUUAAAAGUGUGAAGGUUGAUAAAGAUCUUGGAAGUCGAAACUACCACUAGGCACCAGGAAUGUUUGGAAAUUUUGCAGUCUGCCAAUCAAUUCCC